UACGUAGGGGCUAGCGUUGUCCGGAAUCAUUGGGCGUAAAGCGCGUGUAGGCGGUUCCGGUAAGUCCGCUGUGAAAGUCCGAGGGCUCAACCCUCGAAUGCCGGUGGAUAACUGUCGGGCUAGAGUACGGAAGAGGCGAGUGGAAUUCCUGGUGUAGCGGUGAAAUGCGCAGAUAUCGGGAGGAACACCGGUGGCGAAGGCGGCGACCUGGGUAGAUACUGACGCUGAGGCGGCGAAAGCGUGGGGAGCCAAACAGG
rnacentral:rRNA from 1 species